AACGAACGCUGGCGGCAUGCCUAACACAUGCAAGUCAAACGAGACCUUCGGGUCUAGUGGCGCACGGGUGCGUAACGCGUGGGAACCUGCCCUUAGGUUCGGAAUAACUCCCCGAAAGGGGUGCUAAUACCGGAUAAUGUCUUCGGACCAAAGAUUUAUCGCCUUUGGAUGGGCCCGCGUUGGAUUAGCUAGUUGGUAGGGUAAAAGCCUACCAAGGCGACGAUCCAUAGCUAGUCUGAGAGGAUGAUCAGCCACACUGGGACUGAGACACGGCCCAGACUCCUACGGGAGGCAGCAGUGGGGAAUAUUGGACAAUGGGCGAAAGCCUGAUCCAGCAAUGCCGCGUGAGUGAUGAAGGCCUUAGGGUUGUAAAGCUCUUUUACCCGGGAUGAUAAUGACAGUACCGGGAGAAUAAGCUCCGGCUAACUCCGU
rnacentral:rRNA from 1 species